rnacentral:rRNA from 1 species
GACAGAGGAUGCAAGCGUUAUCCGGAAUGAUUGGGCGUAAAGCGUCUGUAGGUGGCUUUUUAAGUCCGCCGUCAAAUCCCAGGGCUCAACCCUGGACAGGCGGUGGAAACUACCAAGCUGGAGUACGGUAGGGGCAGAGGGAAUUUCCGGUGGAGCGGUGAAAUGCGCAGAUAUCAGGAGGAACACCGGUGGCGAAGGCGGGUCUCUGGGCCAUUACUGACACUGAGAGACGAAAGCUAGGGGAGCAAAUGGG